rnacentral:rRNA from 1 species
UACAGAGGGGGCAAGCGUUAUUCGGAAUUAUUGGGCGUAAAGGGCGCGUAGGCGCCUGGCAAGUGGAAGGUGAAAUCCCUCGGCUUAACCGAGGAACUGCCCUCCAAACUGCUUGGCUUGAGACCGGGAGAGGUGAGUGGAAUUCCCAGUGUAGCGGUGAAAUGCGUAGAUAUUGGGAGGAACACCAGUGGCGAAGGCGGCUCACUGGACCGGAACUGACGCUGAUGCGCGAAAGCGUGGGGAGCAAACGGG